GAAAUACCGAUCUCAAAAAAAGAUCAUGUGGCGACAUCUCGACGAAAUCAAUUUUACCGACCAUCAAUCCGGCCAACAAGUCAGAGCGAUAUGUGACAAUCGAAGAUAAAAGUCGAAAGUGUUACGACCGAAUAUUAUGAAUAACGAACAUGAAAUUGAUAUGACUCCUGUGAUUUCGCGAGGAGAUAAAAAAAAAAGUUGCAAACACGUGGUUUCACGAGAAGAUAAGAUAAGCAAGCAUGUUGCACAUCUGAAAUGAUACGUUCACCUUAAAAGACAAUAAUAAAGAAAAAAAGAAUAUCCAUAAAUAAUUGUACAGGCAGGAAAUUGAG